rnacentral:rRNA from 1 species
UAACCCGUCGAAAGGCGGACUAACUCCCCAUGGUCUCCGAUGAGGACAUCCGAAUUGGAGUAAAGCUUCGCGGACAUGGAUGGGGAUGCGUCUGAUUAGGUAGUAGGCGGGGUAACGGCCCACCUAGCCUACGAUCAGUAGGGGUUCUGAGAGGAAGGUCCCCCACAUUGGAACUGAGACACGGUCCAAACUCCUACGGGAGGCAGCAGUGAGGAAUAUUGGUCAAUGGACGAGAGUCUGAACCAGCCAAGUAGCGUGCAGGAUGACGGCCCUAUGGGUUGUAAACUGCUUUUGCGCGGGGAUAACACCCUCCACAUGCUGGGGGUCUGCAGGUACCGCGCGAAUAAGGACCGGCUAAUUCCGUGCCAGCAGCCGCGGUAAUACGGAAGGUCCGGGCGUUAUCCGGAUUUAUUGGGUUUAAAGGGAGCGUAGGCCGUGAGGUAAGCGUGUUGUGAAAUGUAGGCGCCCAACGUCUGCACUGCAGCGCGAACUGCCCCACUUGAGUGCGCGCAACGCCGGCGGAACUCGUCGUGUAGCGGUGAAAUGCUUAGAUAUGACGAAGAACCCCGAUUGCGAAGGCAGCUGGCGGGAGCGUAACUGACGCUGAAGCUCGAAAGCGCGGGUAUCGAACAGGAUUAGAUACCCUGGUAGUCCGCGCGGU